rnacentral:rRNA from 1 species
UACGGAGGAUCCGAGCGUUAUCCGGAUUUAUUGGGUUUAAAGGGUGCGUAGGCUGGGAAAUAAGUCAGCGGUGAAAGUUCAGGGCUUAACUUUGAAAUUGCCGUUGAAACUGUUUUUCUUGAGUAUAUUGGAAGUAGGCGGAAUGUGUAGUGUAGCGGUGAAAUGCAUAGAUAUUACACAGAACCCCGAUUGCGAAGGCAGCUUACUAUACUAUUACUGACGCUGAUGCACGAAAGCGUGGGGAUCAAACAGGAUUAGAUACCCUGGUAGUCCACGCUGUAAACGAUGAUAACUCGCUGUUUGCGAUAUACCGCAAGUGGCCAAGCGAAAGCGUUAAGUUAUCCACCUGGGGAGUACGCCGGCAACGGUGAA